UUAGCAAUUAUACCGGGAAACUGCGAAGGGUUCAUUAAAUCAGUUAUCGUUUAUUUGAUAGUACCUUACUACUUGGAUAACCGGGGUAAUUCUAAAGCUAAUACAUGCUGAAAACCCCACCUUCGGGAGGGGGGUAUUUAUUAAAUAAAAAACCAAGGCCCUCCGGGGCUCUUUGGUGAUUCAUAAUAACUCAACGGAUCGCAUGGCCUUGCGCCGGCGACGGUUCAUUCAAAUUUCUGCCCUAUCAACUUUCGAUGGUAAGGUACCGGCUUACCAUGGUUUCAACGGGUGACGGGGAAUUAGGGUUUGACUCCGGAGAGGGAGCCUGAAAAACGGCUACCACAUCCAAGGAAGGCAGCAGGCGCGCAAAUUACCCAAUCCCGACACGGGGAGGUAGUGACAAUAAAUACUGAUACAGGGCUCUUUUGGGUCUUGUAAUUGGAAUGAGUACAAUUUAAACCUCUUAACGAGGAACAAUUGGAGGGCAAGUCUGGUGCCAGCAGCCGCGGUAAUUCCAGCUCCAAUAGCGUAUAUUAAAGUUGUUGCAGUUAAAAAGCUCGUAGUUGAACCUUGGGCCUGGCUGGCCGGCCCGCCUCACCGCGUGUACUGGUCUGGCCGGGCCUUUCU
rnacentral:rRNA from 1 species